rnacentral:rRNA from 1 species
GUUGGCGGCGUGGAUAAGACAUGCAAGUCGAACGAGAGAAUUGCUAGCUUGCUAAUAAUUCUCUAGUGGCGCACGGGUGAGUAACACGUGAGUAACCUGCCCCCGAGAGCGGGAUAGCCCUGGGAAACUGGGAUUAAUACCGCAUAGUAUCGAAAGAUUAAAGCAGCAAUGCGCUUGGGGAUGGGCUCGCGGCCUAUUAGUUAGUUGGUGAGGUAACGGCUCACCAAGGCGAUGACGGGUAGCCGGUCUGAGAGGAUGUCCGGCCACACUGGAACUGAGACACGGUCCAGACACCUACGGGUGGCAGCAGUCGAGAAUCAUUCACAAUGGGGGAAACCCUGAUGGUGCGACGCCGCGUGGGGGAAUGAAGGUCUUCGGAUUGUAAACCCCUGUCAUGUGGGAGCAAAUUAAAAAGAUAGUACCACAAGAGGAAGAGACGGCUAACUCUGUGCCAGCAGCCGCGGUAAUACAGAGGUCUCAAGCGUUGUUCGGAAUCACUGGGCGUAAAGCGUGCGUAGGCUGUUUCGUAAGUCGUGUGUGAAAGGCGCGGGCUCAACCCGCGGACGGCACAUGAUACUGCGAGACUAGAGUAAUGGAGGGGGAACCGGAAUUCUCGGUGUAGCAGUGAAAUGCGUAGAUAUCGAGAGGAACACUCGUGGCGAAGGCGGGUUCCUGGACAUUAACUGACGCUGAGGCACGAAGGCCAGGGGAGCGAAAGGGAUUAGAUACCCCUGUAGUCCUGGCAGUAAACGGUGCACGCUUGGUGUGCGGGGAAUCGACCCCCUGCGUGCCGGAGCUAACGCGUUAAGCGUGCCGCCUGGGGAGUACGGUCGCAAGAUUAAAACUCAAAGAAAUUGACGGGGACCCGCACAAGCGGUGGAGUAUGUGGCUUAAUUCGAUGCAACGCGAAGAACCUUACCUGGGCUUGACAUGUAAUGAACAACAUGUGAAAGCAUGCGACUCUUCGGAGGCGUUACACAGGUGCUGCAUGGCCGUCGUCAGCUCGUGUCGUGAGAUGUUUGGUUAAGUCCAGCAACGAGCGCAACCCCUGUUGCCAGUUACCAGCACGUGAAGGUGGGGACUCUGGCGAGACUGCCCAGAUCAACUGGGAGGAAGGUGGGGACGACGUCAGGUCAGUAUGGCCCUUAUGCCCAGGGCUGCACACGUACUACAAUGCCCAGUACAGAGGGGGCCGAAGCCGCGAGGCGGAGGAAAUCCUAAAAACUGGGCCCAGUUCGGACUGUAGGCUGCAACCCGCCUACACGAAGCCGGAAUCGCUAGUAAUGGCGCAUCAGCUACGGCGCCGUGAAUACGUUCCCGGGUCUUGUACACACCGCCCGUCACAUCAUGGAAGCCGGUCGCACCCGAAGUAUCUGAAGCCAACCGCAAGGAGGCAGGGUCCUAAGGUGAGACUGGUAACUGG